rnacentral:rRNA from 1 species
AAUGAACGUUGGCGGCAUGGAUUAGGCAUGCAAGUCGAGCGAGAAGAGUUUUGAAGCUUGCUUUAGAACUCGGACAGCGGCGAAAGGGAGAGUAACGCGUAGUUAUGUGCCCUAGGGUCCGGAAUAGCCACGGGAAACUGUGGGUAAUGCCGGAUAAUAUCCCCGGAUCAAAGGUGGGAUUCCGCCCUAGGAGCAGACCGCGUCCUACUAGCUAGUUGGUGGGGUAAUGGCCUACCAAGGCAAUGAUGGGUAGCGGGUGUGAGAGCAUGACCCGUCUCACUGGGACUGAGACACUGCCCAGACACCUACGGGUGGCUGCAGUCGAGAAUCUUCGGCAAUGGGCGAAAGCCUGACCGAGCGAUGCCGCGUGCGGGAUGAAGGCCCUCGGGUUGUAAACCGCUGUCGUAGGGGAGGAAGGUUCCGUGAAGAGCGGAAUUUGACCUAUCCUAGGAGGAAGUACGGGCUAAGUUCGUGCCAGCCGCCGCCGUAAGAC